UCCCUCUCUCCUCUCUUUUCUUUCUCUCUCCCCACUCCCUCCUCUCUCUCAUUCCACACCCGCAGGUGAAUGUACAAGUGCUGCCGCAGCAGGAGAAGCCCGAGGUGAGUAUGAUUUUCCAUCCUUUCGCUGCGUUUUAGCCUGGGGGAGCCCUGCCCGCCCUUCACUCCCCAGAAAGUAAAGUUCGUUCUUUCUUUCUCCUGCCAGCUGUUUGCGUGACUACAUGUUCAACAGGCGCCUUCCCCUCGGGGACAAUAAGCCCGAGGGACUGAUUUUUAAGGAGGAGGAGGCUGCCGGGCUGGUAACUGUAUAUUAACCCCGGAGCUUUUGUUUUAGCAUCAGGCACCCGGGUUUGACGUCACCUUCGCUGGUUGCGGGAGGAGGUAGCACUUCGGUGGGAAAUAACUCCGUCUCCUUUCCCCAGGGCUCUCGCCUCUCUUUCCCACGAGGGAUCUCCAUCCUCCUCGGCACUUUCUAAAGUUCUUUUUCACAUGCGUCCGUAAGUCCUUCCCCGUAGCGGGAACUGUCUGCCGGUCGUAGGGGCCUCCUCCCUCCGCUUCAGCAUCCCCACCUGCGCUCCCACGCCGCGAGACCUGUUCCAGGUGCCUCCCCGGGUGGGUGCCCCGGGCGAGCUGAGGGCCCCGAGACGGGAGGAGAGAAAGCCCUGGCUCUGCUCGAAGCGUGCCGGCCCUGCCUGCCGCUUCCCCGCGGCUGGACACCGCGCAGGGCCGCGGGGCAGCCCCGCUGCAGGACGCGCAGCGCUCGCUGAUGCUGCGAUGGCUCUUCCCCUUGGUCGCUCUCAUUCCGUGGUUGCGAAAAGCACAGAUCCUGAGGCCUCCAAAUUUUCAUUAUUUUUAUUGCACUUACAUCCGUCUUCCUUUCUUUUUUUUUUUUUUUUUUUUUUUUUGGUAACGAAAUGAGCGAUUUCCUACCCGAUUUUCUGCGGGUGCAGCUGCCACCCACUCCUCGUGAUUUAGGUGUUAUAACACCUUUAUUUAAUACGGCCGCCAAGUCAAAAUAUCCGAUUUAAUUUUAUUUGCAACCACUAAUUUUAUUCUCCGGAGAGUAUUACUCUAAUCAUCUGAUUUAAUUGGGAUUUCGUAGAACUCGAUCAGACCUAAUAAGAAACAUUUAAAGUAUUGCUUUAUGUUGGUUUAACAGGGAGAAAAUAUUCUCCCUUCUACCUGGCAGUUUUUUGGAGGGGUUGCGAUGGGUUUUUUUCUGCAAAUACCGUCCCUUUCCCCCUCGAGGCAGCCCGCCACCACCAACAGCACAGGACACGGGUUAUGCCGAUUUCCUCCGUUCUGUUGUCUUUCAGCUUUGACUUAAAUUAAAGGGCUGGGUUAUCCUUUCCGUUUAAGGCGGUUUAAAACUAUUUUGGAAACAGGCAUGGGGAAAAAAACCACCAAACAAACCAAAAAAACCCCAAACAACAAAAACCCCCGAGAGUGGGUCAGUAAUCAGCCUGUGAAAUGCGGUGGUUUCUGUUCGGAGCCUCAUGCUUCCAGUAACAUGACAAACGGCGGUGUUGAAGUUGGGACACACAACGCGUAGCAUCUCUAUCCCGAGGCUGUUUCCGUGGGCUCCUGCAGCACGGCCCCACUCGCUGAGAUAGGCGGAGUUGGGGUGCAGUGUCCCAGAGCUGGGCACGUAAACGCCCGGUGCCUGUUUCUGCUGUUCGUCCAAAGUCAGCAGAGGACACCCCUUGGUCCAAAACACUUAGCCAUGUGCUCGUUUUAAAUGUUACACUCAACUUCAAUCCGACAUCGUAAUAGCGGUGUUUUAUUAAAUAAAAAAUCUAAAAUUGCAAGGAUGUGUAAUUACAAGGAUGUAACUCCAGGAUUCAGCAAGUUCUGAGGACGUUUGUCCAAAUCUCCCCCAAUUUCAGGGGCGUUUGACGGGUACCCACGCCGCGCUCCUCUCCGGCCACCCCCAGGGCAGGCAGCAGCCCCGGCAGGCGCCUGGAGGCGGCGGGGGCUGGAGGCGAAGCCGCCGCUCCCGGAAAGCGCCGCUCUUCGCCGGGAUCGCUCCUGACCCGGAGCCGAGGCCUCUCGUCGGGCUCGGCACCCUGCUCCGGGCUCAGGCAGACUCUGCCUUUCCGCUUUCCAGGAGGGAAGUGGCUGGAGGGGCUGCUUCCAACCGGGACCCAACUAUUCCUGUGUUGCUGUCCUCUUACGAGAAGGUGCGCACAUUUCACAGAUUUAUUCAAACAAACCACCCCUUGAGCUGUGAGUUCGCCCGGAUCAGCAGAGGCGCGGCCAGGACUUGCCACGGGCUCGGAGCUCUCUCCAGCUGUGUCCCGGCCUGCUAGAGCCCUGUGUGUGUGUGAGUAUGGACGGGAGGCAGCGGGGAGGUGGAUGUUGCUCUCCCCCCACCCCUCCCUUCUUCCUCCCCUCUCUCCUGCUGCAAUUCAUUUCUGUUUGACGAGGCACAAUAAAAUCUUCAUGUACA